rnacentral:rRNA from 1 species
UACGUAGGUGGCGAGCGUUGUCCGGAUUUAUUGGGUUUAAAGGGUGCGUAGGCGGCCCUAUAAGUCAGUGGUGAAAUAUCGCAGCUUAACUGUGAGGGUGCCAUUGAUACUGUAGGGCUUGAGUGAAUUUGAGGUAGGCGGAAUUGACGGUGUCGCGGUGAAAUGCUUAGAUAUCGUCAAGAACACCGAUAGUGAAGACAGCUUACCAGCUUCAACUGACGCUGAGGCACGAAAGUGUGGGGAUCAAACAGG